GUGACGCACGGGUGCGUAACACGUAUGCAACCUACCCUUUACAGGAGUAUAGCUCGGGGAAACUCGAAUUAAUGCUCCAUGAAAUAGUUGAAUGGCAUCAUUUGAUUAUUAAAGCUGAGGUGGUAAAGGAUGGGCAUGCGUCUGAUUAGCUAGUUGGUAGUGUAACGGACUACCAAGGCGAUGAUCAGUAGGGGAACUGAGAGGUUGAUCCCCCACACUGGCACUGAGAUACGGGCCAGACUCCUACGGGAGGCAGCAGUAGGGAAUAUUGGUCAAUGGGUGAGAGCCUGAACCAGCCAUGCCGCGUGCAGGAAGACGGCCUUCUGGGUUGUAAACUGCUUUUGCCAGGGGCUAAAAAGUCCAUGCGUGGAAAAUUGAAAGUACCUGGUGAAUAAGCCACGGCUAACUACGUGCCAGCAGCCGCGGUAAUACGUAGGUGGCAAGCGUUGUCCGGAUUUAUUGGGUUUAAAGGGUGCGUANGCGGCUCUGUAAGUCAGUGCUGAAUAUCCCGGCUUACUGGGAGGGUGGCAUUGAUACUGUGGGGCUAGAGUACAGAUGAAGUAGGCGGAAUUGACGGUGUACCGGUGAANUGCUUAAAUAUCGUCAAGGACACCUAUAGCGAAGGCAGCUUACUAGCUGUAACUGACCUGAAGCCCCAAAGUGUGGGGAUCAACAGGAUAAAACCCUGGUAGUCCCCCUGUAACGUUGAU
rnacentral:rRNA from 1 species